rnacentral:rRNA from 1 species
UGGGGAAUAUUGGACAAUGGGCGAAAGCCUGAUCCAGCGACGCCGCGUGUGUGAAGAAGGCCUGCGGGUUGUAAAGCACUUUCGAUGGGAACGAAAUGUGCCGGGUUAAUACCCCGGUAAGCUGACGUUACUCAAUGAAGAAGCACCGGCUAACUCUGUGCCAGCAGCCGCGGUAAUACGUAGGGUGCGAGCGUUAAUCGGAAUUACUGGGCGUAAAGCGUGCGCAGGCGGUUUGGUAAGACAGAUGUGAAAUCCCCGGGCUUAACCUGGGAACUGCAUUUGUGACUGCCAGACUAGAGUGUAGCAGAGGGGGGUAGAAUUCCACGUGUAGCAGUGAAAUGCGUAGAUAUGUGGAGGAAUACCGAUGGCGAAGGCAGCCCCCUGGGCUAACACUGACGCUCAUGCACGAAAGCGUGGGGAGCAAACAGGAUUAGAUACCCCUGUAGUCCCUGAGCGGGCUGGCAAGGCGCAU